CCCGAGGGGGAGGCCGCGCCGCCAGCAGAGGCCCCCGCCGAAGCUUGAGCUGCGGCACUGUUACCGAACCAGCGAACGAUGUCGACACGCCACCCGGGGGAAAAGGCCUCUCACUUCGAUAUGAAACUCGACCGAACGCACGCCACGCCGGCGGUCACUCGGAAGGAUUCAAACAAAAGGAAAUCAGUUUUGCUUUUAAACGACAUAAGACUGCGAACUUAGCGCGGUGAAGCAAUGUGUGGGCCACUCAUUACUUCAUUGGAAAUAGAGCAAAAUAAAUCACUGCAUUUUGUCAUUUUA